CUGCCCUUCCAUCCCUUGGAUAGAUAGAGAGGGGGGGCAGAGCUUUUGGUUUUUUCAUGUUGUCAAAGAGUUGAACAAUGGUUUUUCGUGUUGUCAAAGAGUUGAACAAUGAAAAUAGAUGGCGAGUGCCUGAUCGAAUUGAUCGAGUCAUGUAGGAACAAGGUUCAAGUCUACCGGUCUGUUAGGGUGCCUCAGCUGCAUACAUCACUGCACUUCCACUUGACACCUAUCGUAAUGAUAAACGGCUCGUCUCGCCGUGACCUUC
rnacentral:rRNA from 2 species